UUCAAACAUUCCCCAGAAUGGUUCUUCCCAUAAUUUCCACACUACACAACUUGCUUCUUAGCUCCUUCCUGCUUCACCUGAAUACUUCCAAAAUUGCUUCCCUUCCUUUUGCUAUCACCACCGCUACUCCCACUAGUAACUUCCACCUUCCUAGUCCCCUCGACCUUACCCUUGUUCUUUCUCUCCUUGUUGUAGAGGCUCAUGGCCUCA
rnacentral:lncRNA from 1 species